UUAUGUUACAUUUUUAUUUAGUGAAAUCAGCACAGUAUCAUAGGUUUUUAUUUUGUUACAUUAACCUUUGGAUUUAAUCAUCAGGAUAUGCCGAGAUUCCUGUCACAAAGGGAAAACGGUGUCAAGGUCCAUCCGAAGUGGCUCCAUGUUUGAGAAUUCUCACAUUCGACUGCAUACGUGGAUGCAUUACAUCUACAGAUUCGCCCAAGGCCUUCGACUGAGACAAGUGGACAUGCUGCAGGAAGGAAUUACUCGGAGUUCUGCAACUCUGAGUAAACUUGCAGACAAGCUGCGGAGAGUUUGCAAAUCGGGAAUGAAAAGAAUGAGAAGAAGAGGCAAGCAGACUGUUGGACAAAGAGCAGAGAUUGUUAUGAUAGAUGAAAGUAAAUUUGGCCAUAAAAGAAAGUACAACAGAGGACGGGCAAGCAACAGGAGUUCCUGGGUGUUCGGAAUGCUAGGGAUUAAGGAUGACAGGAGGAGACCCAUUCUUAAGAUUGUGCAUCACCGUUCAGCCAGGCAUCUCUUGCCUCUAAUAAAGAAGCACGUUCAUCGUGGAAGCUCAAUCAUUUCUGAUGGGUGGAGGUCUACAGGUUUUAGGUUACAAUCACCUGACUGUCAACCAUCAAGAUUUUUAUGUCGACCCUGAAAAAAUAUCCAGUAUGAAACCUGUCUGAAAUGUAGAUGCAGAUAUCAAGUUGAUAUUUAUCCUACCAGUCAAAAGUUUUGACACACUAAAUGUACUGUUACCUCUGAGAAAAAGAUUAUUAUCAUGGACAUGAAGGCCAAAGGCCAACUCCUUCCCUUGUUAAAGUAUUAAAAUGCAAGUGAGCUUCUUUGUUCAGUUAAAAUUCUGUUAUAUUGUAUUGGAAAAGUGAAAUAUUUGUGCACAGGGGAAAUAAAUCACCUGAUGCAGUAAUUAUAGAGCACGUUUAGGCUGUGAAAGUGCAAUGUUUGUACAGUUCAGGCAGAUUUUCAACAAUAGAGUACCUAUGACCUGCUUAUACAUUUGAUACCAUAUUAUAUGACAUGUUUAUAUACACUGAUACUCGUCAGUGUUUGAAUUUUCAGGCAGACCCUAUUACCUGUAAGUUAAACUACACAGCAAGUUCAGGCAGUAUUUGUUGUCAGCCUUGGGAAAACCUGAACCAGUGGUUUAAUAAAUGAGGUAUUUGUACUUGUGCUGUCUUUGUUAUUCUACCACUGAA